rnacentral:rRNA from 1 species
CCUACGGGAGGCUGCAGUAGGGAAUAUUGCUCAAUGGGGGAAACCCUGAAGCAGCAACGCCGCGUGGAGGAUGAAGGUUUUCGGAUUGUAAACUCCUUUUGUUAGAGAAGAUAAUGACGGUAUCUAACGAAUAAGCACCGGCUAACUCCGUGCCAGCAGCCGCGGUAAUACGGAGGGUGCAAGCGUUACUCGGAAUCACUGGGCGUAAAGCGCGCGUAGGCGGGAUAGCAAGUCAGAUGUGAAAUCCUAUGGCUUAACCAUAGAACUGCAUUUGAAACUGUUAUUCUAGAGUAUGGGAGAGGUAGGUGGAAUUCUUGGUGUAGGGGUAAAAUCCGUAGAGAUCAAGAGGAAUACUCAGUGCGAAGGCGACCUGCUAGAACAUAACUGACGCUGAUGCGCGAAAGCGUGGGGAGCAAACAGGAUUAGAUACCCUAGUAGUC